rnacentral:rRNA from 1 species
GACGAACCGUGCGAACGUUGUUCGGAAUCACUGGGCUUAAAGGGCGCGUAGGCGGCAGAUCAAGUCCGGGGUGAAAGCCCCCAGCUUAACUGGGGAAGUGCCUUGGAAACUGAUGUGCUUGAGGGAGGUAGGGGUCGAGGGAACUUCUGGUGGAGCGGUGAAAUGCGUUGAUAUCAGAAGGAACGCCGGUGGCGAAAGCGCUCGACUGGACCUUUUCUGACGCUGAGGCGCGAAAGCUAGGGGAGCAAACGGG